rnacentral:rRNA from 1 species
UGGGGAAUUUUGGACAAUGGGCGAAAGCCUGAUCCAGCAAUGCCGCGUGUGUGAAGAAGGCCUUCGGGUUGUAAAGCACUUUUGUCCGGAAAGAAAUCCUUGGCUCUAAUACAGUCGGGGGAUGACGGUACCGGAAGAAUAAGCACCGGCUAACUACGUGCCAGCAGCCGCGGUAAUACGUAGGGUGCAAGCGUUAAUCGGAAUUACUGGGCGUAAAGCGUGCGCAGGCGGUUUGCUAAGACCGAUGUGAAAUCCCCGGGCUCAACCUGGGAACUGCAUUGGUGACUGGCAGGCUAGAGUAUGGCAGAGGGGGGUAGAAUUCCACGUGUAGCAGUGAAAUGCGUAGAGAUGUGGAGGAAUACCGAUGGCGAAGGCAGCCCCCUGGGCCAAUACUGACGCUCAUGCACGAAAGCGUGGGGAGCAAACAGGAUUAGAUACCCUGGUAGUCCACGCCCUAAACGAUGUCAACUAGUUGUGGGGAUUCAUUUCCUUAGUAACGUAGCUAACGCGUGAAGUUGACCGCCUGGGGAGUACGGUCGCAAGAUUAAAACUUAAAGGAAUUGACGGGG